rnacentral:rRNA from 1 species
UCCACGCCCUAAACGAUGAACACUAGUCGUCGGGAUGCUAGUCAUCUCGGUGAUGCACUUAACAGAUUAAGUGUUCCGCCUGGGGAGUACGGUCGCAAGAUUAAAACUCAAAGGAAUAGACGGGGACCCGCACAAGUGGUGGAGCAUGUGGUUUAAUUCGAAGAUACGCGAAGAACCUUACCUAGCCUUGACAUUGAUUGAAUUCCGCAGAGAUGUGGAAGUGCCCUUCGGGG